rnacentral:rRNA from 1 species
AUGUUGCCGCCGGCGCUGUCCCCGCCCACGAACAGCCGGGACAUGUCGCCGUGCUUGUGGAGCCAGGACGGGCCGUAGCCGGAGCCGUUGCGGGCGUUGGAGAGCACCCACUGGAGCGCCGUCCACGAGUCGUCGUAGGCGGCCGGGAGCGUGUGCUCCGGCGCCAGGCGGUAGUUCACCGACACCGCGAUGACGCCCGCCCUGGCCGCCAGCGCGUUGAGGUAGUUGUGGUACACGGGGCCGAAGGCCGACUCGACGACGAACGCGCCGCCGUGGAAGUAG